rnacentral:rRNA from 1 species
ACACAUGCAAGUCGAGGGGUAUAGUUCUUCGGAACUAGAGACCGGCGCACGGGUGCGUAACGCGUAUGCAAUCUACCUUUCACAGAGGGAUAGCCCAGAGAAAUUUGGAUUAAUACCUCAUAGUAUAAUGAGUUGGCAUCAACACAUUAUUAAAGUCACAACGGUGAAAGAUGAGCAUGCGUCCCAUUAGCUAGAUGGUAAGGUAACGGCUUACCAUGGCUACGAUGGGUAGGGGUCCUGAGAGGGAGAUCCCCCACACUGGUACUGAGACACGGACCAGACUCCUACGGGAGGCAGCAGUGAGGAAUAUUGGACAAUGGGCGCAAGCCUGAUCCAGCCAUGCCGCGUGCAGGAUGACGGUCCUAUGGAUUGUAAACUGCUUUUGUACAGGAAGAAACACUGGUUCGUGAACCAGCUUGACGGUACUGUAAGAAUAAGGAUCGGCUAACUCCGUGCCAGCAGCCGCGGUAAUACGGAGGAUCCAAGCGUUAUCCGGAAUCAUUGGGUUUAAAGGGUCCGUAGGCGGUUUAGUAAGUCAGUGGUGAAAGCCCAUCGCUCAACGGUGGAACGGCCAUUGAUACUGCUAAACUUGAAUUAUUAGGAAGUAACUAGAAUAUGUAGUGUAGCGGUGAAAUGCUUAGAGAUUACAUGGAAUACCAAUUGCGAAGGCAGGUUACUACUAAUGGAUUGACGCUGAUGGACGAAAGCGUGGGUAGCGAACAGGAUUAGAUACCCUGGUAGUCCACGCCGU